rnacentral:rRNA from 1 species
UACGUAGGUGGCAAGCGUUAUCCGGAUUUACUGGGUGUAAAGGGCGUGUAGGCGGGAUUACAAGUCAGAUGUGAAAACUAUGGGCUCAACCCAUAGCCUGCAUUUGAAACUGUAGUUCUUGAGUGAUGGAGAGGCAGACGGAAUUCCUCGUGUAGCGGUGAAAUGCGUAGAUAUGAGGAGGAACACCAGUGGCGAAGGCGGUCUGCUGGACAUUAACUGACGCUGAGGCGCGAAAGCGUGGGGAGCAAACAGGAUUAGAUACCCUGGUAGUCCACGCUGUAAACGAUGGAUACUAGGUGUGGGGGGACUGACCCCCUCCGUGCCGGAGUUAACACAAUAAGUAUCCCACCUGGGGAGUACGAUCGCAAGGUUGAA